GCUCGAGUGGUGGAAUUGGUAGACACGCCGGACUUAAAAUCCUGUGACCAUUUGGUCGUGCGGGUUCAAGUCCCGCCUCGAGUA
rnacentral:tRNA from 6 species